UACAGAGGGUGCGAGCGUUGUCCGGAAUCACUGGGCGUAAAGGGCGCGUAGGCGGCCUCUGCAAGUCGACUGUGAAAUCUCCGGGCUUAACCCGGAACGGUCAGCCGAUACUGCAGGGCUAGAGUGCAGAAGGGGCAACUGGAAUUCUCGGUGUAGCGGUGAAAUGCGUAGAUAUCGAGAGGAACACCUGCGGCGAAGGCGGGUUGCUGGGCUGACACUGACGCUGAAGUGCGAAAGCUAGGGGAGCGAACGGG
rnacentral:rRNA from 1 species